rnacentral:misc_RNA from 1 species
GCUAAUGGAAGACCUUGAGCAUAUUGUAGCACCCUUUCUGACAAUUCCAUAUAAUCUAAAGGGGGAAGUUUUUGCUUGAAAGCAUUCAAACUGACUAACUGAAGAGCAUCAUAGUGAGAUAAUUGUAGAACCUCAUGUAUGUAUCGUUCAUCAACUUUGGCCUUAAACACUUGCAGAUCUCUGCUUGUCAUGAUGAUCCUACUUCCAGGACCAAACCAAUUCCCAUUAACAACUAGGCUGUCCUCAUUGACGUCAUCAAGAACUAUCAGAACCUUCUUCCUUCGAAGCUUGUGCACAAUUGAAGCAGGUAAUACACUGGGAGUUUCAAUAUCUAUAUCUCGAUCCUUUAGAACUUUAGAAAGGAUGGUCUUCAGCAAAGAGAUUGAAUCAGCUUUCCUUAACGUUUCUCUAACAUUUGCAAGAAAGC